GUGAAUCAUCAAAUUUUUGAACGCAUAUUGCACUCUCUGGUAUUCCGGAGAGUAUGCCUGUUUGAGGGUCAGUUAGAUAAAAAUCGAGGUUUUUGCUGCCUUUUCGUGGUGAAGCUUCGGAAUUGGGUCGUCUUUACCUAUCGUUUAAUUGACCUAAAUUUUUUUUUUGUUAUCUGACCGUAUUUAAAUUUAUUUGUUACGUUUUGUAUUAUCGAAUAUUUAUUAGUUUUGGUCAUCUUAUUGUUUCACUUCUU
rnacentral:misc_RNA from 1 species